AACGAACGCUGGCGGCAGGCUUAACACAUGCCAGUCGAACGCCCCGUAAGGGGAGUGGCAGACGGGUGAGUAACGCGUGGGAACAUACCCUUUUCUACGGAAUAGCUCUGGGAAACUGGAAUUAAUACCGUAUACGCCCUACGGGGGAAAGAUCUAUCGGGGAAGGAAUGGCCCGCGUUGGAUUAGCUAGUUGGUGGGGUAAAGGCCUACCAAGGCGACGAUCCAUCGCUGGUCUGAGAGGAUGAUCAGCCACAUUGGGACUGAGACACGGCCCGAACUCCUACGGGAGGCAGCAGUGGCGAAUAUUGGACAAUGGGCGCAAGCCUAAUCCAGCCAUGCCGCGUGAGUGAUGGAGGCCUUAGGGUUGUAAAGCUCUUUCACCGAUGAAGAUAAUGACGGUAGUCGGAGAAGAAGCCCCGGCUAACUUCGUGCCAGCCGCCGCAGUAAGAC
rnacentral:rRNA from 1 species